GCAGGCCUGCAUGGAAGGAGUGAGGACAGAGUCUCUGAACAGUAAGGCAGUCUUAGGGCAGUUCGCAGGUGGGGCCUCCACCUGAAGGCUAGGAUCUGGGCUUUGACUGUAGAGGACUAGCUGAGGGCAUAUUCUCUGUUAGCAAAACUCUGCCAGGAUGCUUUCCAUGCACUCCCUCAAGUGACCCCAGCAAAUGCUCUUGCAUGAAACCUCAGCAUUUCUGCUUCCAGCAUGGCAGACCCUUUGGGAUAUCUGCUCAGCCCAUGAUCCCCAUCUUAGAGAGAAGUGUGCCCUGCCCGUAAGAAGAAAACCCAAGGCCACGUUUGUCUUAUGUGACCCUGGUCUACGGCUGCAGCUAACUGGACACAAGCUAAGACAGCUCACGCAGGCAGGGCAGCAGCUCCUCCAGGCUCCUGCCACAUCAUGAACCUGCACAAAGAUGCAUGGCAUCAGAGGACGGUCCACCCUAAUGUUCCAGGGUUUGCACAUGGACGAGUCUUUUGGGGAAAUACCAUUCAGCCCACCAAAGGCAUCUUGAACUCCUCCCAAUUCUGGACAUGAGGACUAGGCCACAGUGGGAAACUCUGGGAACCAGUGAUGCUCAGGUGAACUUUGACCUCCCUCCUGGUCACAGGGAGUUCCAUCAAAUGCCCGGUGGCACGUGCUAUUGCUAGCCUGCCAUGGUGGCGAGGCCAGGGAGUCAGAUGCCUCCAGUCGAGCUGGGCAGACGCUUUCCUAACCUUUGACAAAGGACUGAGCAGCAAGCGUGCCAUGGUGGAGCAGCUCCUCUGUAGAUUUGCUUAGAAGACUUAGAAUGUGACUUUCAGGUCAAGUAUGUGAGACUACAGAACCUCUAAGAAUGCUGUAGGGAAACAGCACUGUGCCAUCUCAAUAGCAGAAAAGGGUCAGGUGGAUUGGCUCAUGCCUGUAAUCCCAGCACUUUGGGAGGCUGAGGCGGGCAGAUCACUUG